rnacentral:lncRNA from 1 species
UUUGCUUUUUUAUUUAUUUCUCAUUUAUAUGUUUUUUUGUUUUUUUGGAUCAAAUCCUAUGACACUUUACUUUCUUGAUUUAUUGCACGGGUCAUGACUAUCUCACUCCUUUUGUGGGUAAGGGAUAACCAUUAUGAAUUUGUGAUUUCAUCCGCUUGAGAGGGAUAUGAUAUGAUUGAUCACUUGACGGGAUAUUCUCCUUUCUGAAAUUUGAACGCAAGGUCAAACUAACUGAAGACUACCCUUCCCCUAGUUAAACAUGAGGGUUUUAUGUAUAAA